rnacentral:rRNA from 1 species
UACGAAGGGGGCUAGCGUUGCUCGGAAUGACUGGGCGUAAAGGGCGCGUAGGCGGUUUGUACAGUCAGGUGUGAAAUUCCCGGGCUCAACCUGUGGGCGGCACUUGAGACGUAGGAACUGGAGUGAGGAAGAGGGUCGUGGAAUUCCCAGUGUAGAGGUGAAAUUCGUAGAUAUUGGGAAGAACACCAGUGGCGAAGGCGAGUCCCUGGACAGGUCCUGACGCUGAGGCACGAAAGCUAGGGGAGCAAACAGG